CCGCGUGAGUGAAGAAGGCUUUCGGGUCGUAAAACUCUGUUGUUGGAGAAGAAUGGUCGGCAGAGUAACUGUUGUCGGCGUGACGGUAUCCAACCAGAAAGCCACGGCUAACUACGUGCCAGCAGCCGCGGUAAUACGUAGGUGGCAAGCGUUAUCCGGAUUUAUUGGGCGUAAAGCGAGCGCAGGCGGUUUUUUAAGUCUGAUGUGAAAGCCCUCGGCUUAACCGAGGAAGCGCAUCGGAAACUGGGAAACUUGAGUGCAGAAGAGGACAGUGGAACUCCAUGUGUAGCGGUGAAAUGCGUAGAUAUAUGGAAGAACACCAGUGGCGAAGGCGGCUGUCUGGUCUGUAACUGACGCUGAGGCUCGAAAGCAUGGGUAGCGAACAGGAUUAGAUACCCUGGUAGUCCAUGCCGUAAACGAUGAAUGCUAGGUGUUGGAGGGUUUCCGCCCUUCAGUGCCGCAGCUAACGCAUUAAGCAUUCCGCCUGGGGAGUACGACCGCAAGGUUGAAACUCAAAGGAAUUGACGGGGGCCCGCACAAGCGGUGGAGCAUGUGGUUUAAUUCGAAGCAACGCGAAGAACCUUACCAGGUCUUGACAUCUUUUGAUCACCUGAGAGAUCAG
rnacentral:rRNA from 2 species